UGAGGUUUGCUCUCCCUCUGCUCAGGAUGACUGUACGCCCAUGUUUGGUCCAAGGCAGCGCAGGAGUACCCAUCCCCAUGAGGGGACAGUGGUGAGUGCACCUGGCCCAAUCCUCCUGGGAGGGAGCAGUUACACUGCAAAGAAACAACUUGAAGCAAAUGAUGUUGCUGGGACCCCUUGGGUUCUGCAUGGAACAGUCAUUGGCCUCCAGAUGGUGUCUCUAUCCCUGCUGGUA